CGAUCUCAGCAAGAUUAAUAAAAUUAAUUAUUAUAAUAUUAUUAUUACUUAGUAAUAUGAUCUUCUCUUAUAAUACAUAAUAAAUUUAUUUUCAACUUAAUAUAUGAUAAUAAUUUAUCAAUUCUCAUGAAAUACUAAUAAUUUCUUUUUAUAAUAUCAUUUUUCAUAUACUAGAUUACGUUAACGAGCUUUGGAGUGGAGAGCUUAGAAAUGUUUGAAAUUUGUUCAUAAAAAUGAAUCCAACGUAAAGUUGUUUAAGAUGAUAGCCUUUUUAAUAGUCAAAUGAACGAACCGAGCUCAGUAGCUCGGAACAGUCAAGAAAUGGUUUUUAUUUGGCUGGAACUGGAAGCCUAACAAAAAGCCACCUUUAAUUUAGUCUCUCCAUCUCUUUAGUUCAGUCUUUUCCAAGGAUGACACCAUAAUAAUAGGAUGGCUUAUAUGAACUGACUGAUUCAGUUUUAUGCUCCUCAUUCGUGUUCUUGAAAGGAUUGGCAUGGCAGGAAACGUUUCUAUACUGCAAGAGUAUAACAAGAAGACCGGGCACAGUGAGAAAUCAAUUCAUUUAUAGGAAAUCAAACGAGUUACAAAAUUGAACACCAAGAAUUCUCAUGAAAACUCUCUUGCUCCAAACUGCAAAGGAAAAACACAGAAUAAGCUUCGACCAACACAAGAUAUUAAUGUACGGAAAAUCAGUGUGGAAUGAGAACCUAAUCUAAUCUCUAGAAGCAACAUGUUCUCAUGUUACUGAUUCCUUGAACAUUUAGAAGUGUUGAAAGGACAAAAAAAGAAAACAAAAGAAGAGUAUUGUCCAAAUUGGAUGAAUUUGCAUAACAAUUUAAGGUCGGCAAAGGAAGUUUCCCAGAAUGGAGGGGAUGCAAUACAUAGAGACAUUUGAGUUUGACCCUAGGAAAUGGGAAACGCGGUUUCAUAUCAGUUUUUUUUUUUUUUUUUGUCUAUUAUUUAAGUAUGUUGCAGACUUUGAAGACUUUAAAGAUUAGAUGUUAAUUGUUAUAAUGUUCCGGCUAACUAGCAACUAGUCAAAACCUACCGUGCGGUUUAUGUCUUUCUUGCACGCUCAGGUUUUGGUUUGGGUGAUGUUUGCAAUUUGAUUUUGGUUUCUCUAUCAUUUCAUUUGUUAGGUUUGUUUCAAACCGACCAAUCUUAAUUACCAAUGAAACCAGAAAGGAAACUGAAAUGAAAUCCAGAUGAUAAAAGAAAACCCAAUUUUUGACCAUUUUCUUUUCUUUUUUUUAUUUAUUGGUUUUGGUUGUACGAGUAGAAUUAUCUAUGUACUUUUGGCUAUGCUGAGCGAGUUUUGUUUAAAAUUUUUGGAUUUGAACUCCAAGGUUUAACAUAUGGGUAUCUGUAGUUUAUUCAUUGGUGGGUAUUCUUAGGAUAAAUCUGGACUAUAUGGCACUAAAUGGUGCUGUACUUCGACGACUGUUGUGCGGUUGUCGUUUUAACUUGUCUUUGUGCUUUUGUGGCUGCCGUUUGGGGAAUACUUUUUUUAAUCUGCUUAGUGGCGAUUGGUGUAACGGCCGAACAGAACAAUGGAGCGUCUUUGGAAUUGAAAGUUUAUGUUUUGUCCGUACAAAUUGGAAUCAAUUACAAAAGACUUGGUCAGUGCCGCCCUGGCCGGACUUUAAUUUUCUCCGAUCAA